GUAAACAUUUUCGUCUUGUAAAAAUCAAUGUAUGCUCAAGUGUAUCGCUUACGAUCGAAUAACAACUUGCAAAAUCCGAACCACGGUAUUACGUACAUUAUAAUAUGUACACAAACAUGAAACAAUAAUUUGUUCGCCUGGUGUGAGACUUCGACGUUAAGAAACGUGUGUGCGAAUAAACAAAUACCCAAACACACUAUACAAACAAUAACGACACGAUUUUUCAAAUUUGAGGAAAACAACUUGCGUACAAAAUCGAAACCCUACACCUGUGGCGAUCAAUUUUUUCGACUAUAAAAUGAGAAAACCCAUACAGCUUUUUAAUCUAACCUAGUUGACUCGUCUCGUUUGGUCGUUUCAUUCGGAACAUAUAGUAACAAGAGUUUUUCUAAGUCCAUAGGCCAUAAUACGUAGGCUACUGUACAAAUUUUUUUCAAGACAGGAUUCAUUUUUUAAAUAUUCAAUAAUGCAUAUUCGCGUUUUCAUAACAUGUUCACUCGUUUUUUCGGUGAUAUCGCUCGUGUAUGGCAAAUCAACGAUAAGAAUUAAUUCGAGUUAUUUUGUUUCAAUUAAGGGAAGCGCGAUUUGUGACUGGAGCGACGCAGACAAGGUAGCAGCCUGUAAUUUGAUACCAAAUCUUUACAAUCCUGAAGCCGAGUGCCAAAACACGAAAAUUCAAUUCGUCGAUACGACUGUUUCACAUGAUAUUUUAAUAUGCACCGAUGAUGGUGGAAGUAUCUGGGGUUGUGCUUACAACAUGUAUAAUAAUGCUGUAAUUACUGAUUACGCUGCUUUUACACAGAGCUGUGAGUAAUGGAAACCCGGCAUGUGACGUUUUUUCACUUUUCUCUUUUUAAAACAUCACAUUUCAAAAUUUUACAUUUUUUUGCAUAUCUAUUUUUGGGAAAAUUUUCUCGUUUCUCGUUGAUGAAAAUCUUUCCUUCGGAUUUGUCGAUCUAGACUACCUACCUAUUAAAAUGAGUCUUUUUUUCCUUUCAUUUGUUUUUGGUGACCAUUUUUUUGCAAUAUACAUAUAUACAAAGAAUUUUUUUACAAACACUUUACAAAGGUUUUGGUAUUUUUCUCCGAUUUCAACGCUUUCUUUCGUGUUUCAAUCGCAUUAUUUUAUCGUGUUUUCAACACUUUUCUGCACAAUUUUCUACAUAAGUACAUAUUUUACUGAAAUUAUUAUUUUAAAAAAAAUUUGGUAGGUUACCGUCCUAUUAUUUUCCGCAGCAAUUUUGAUACUUUUUUCAGUGUUUUACAAGUGACGUAUCAUUUUAACAGGUUUCCAAUGAAAUGCUCAACGUAGGUACAAUUUCUAAUACGUUUUGUGAAAUUUUACGAACUGAAAUUUUUAUUAACUUGGUUCUGGUAAUUUUCAUUGAUUCUAAUGUGUGUUUUUUUUGUGUUCUUGCAUAAUUUGGUGUUCUUUUUAACACAUUUUUUUUGUCGAAUAAUCACUUUUUUAAGUAAUUUUCAACAUAUUUUGCGAUUUGCGACCACUUGUUUACUUUACUAAUUGUAUAAUUAUACUAUUAUCUAUCUGAGAA